rnacentral:lncRNA from 1 species
UAACACAUUGACAGGGCAGGGUAGGGCUCUGUUUCUAAAUCUAUUUCUCACCUCUUUGUGCCUCAGCUUUCCCCUUCAUGAAUAAAAAUUGGAUGGAAAUGUUUAGAAGCCCUGCACUCUGUGGUGAGCUCUGAGUUUAAAAGGAUGGAGCUGGUUUGGAAUAGCAAAUACUCAAGUGUUCAGUUAGAAAUUACGCGGUGCGAAAUGUGGAGGGCUAGUUAACUUUCUAUUGAAUUUUAAUGGAGCUUUUUGUUUUGGUUCUCAGAUGAAAUUUUAUUUCUGUGCCUGUUAAUUAUUCUACUGAGAAUUAAAACACAUAGUCAUUGAUCAUGUCUCAUUACAUGUAGGGCACAGUGUUUCUCACACCUGGGAAAGCAUUAUGAACACAAACCUCAGGCUCACAGUUUUAUAGGACAAGUAGUUCUGUAAUUGGAAGGACAUUUUGGUGGGAGGUUUAGUGCUGUGAUUGGGUAAGCUCAGAACUGGAGGUAGACAUUUAUCUCUGUAAUGAACUCUUCAGAGGAGUUUUCUGGUUAAUUGCAUCCCAGGUGAGUUAAAUGGCAAGCUGAUUAAGGACAGAGGGGAAUGAGGAGGUGAGGGAGGUGAGCCUAGGCAACUGGGGCAUCUAUAAAGGAAGGCAGAUAGAAGACUUUCAAGCUUUCUUUUUCAGCAGGGCUCAUCUGGCAGCUGGCUGGAGUUAGUAGGAGAUGAGAGAGGUAUGUGAGAAGAAAAUGCUGGAAACCGCUCAAUGUCUGAAGUCAACCUCAGCUAAAUACCAGAAGACACCAGAAAUGUGAGCCAGCUGCUCAGACACUCAGAGAAAUGACCUGAGAAGAAAGAGCCAGGUGACACAUCCCAGGAAAUGGAUCCUGUCCUAAAAAGAAAAUGCAUUCAUCAUUCAGAUAACUUCUGCCA